rnacentral:tRNA from 2 species
GCUCCCGUAGCUCAACCGGUCAGAGCAGGACGCUUAUAACGUCAAGGUCGCGGGUUCAAACCCCGCCGGGAGCA